rnacentral:rRNA from 1 species
CGGACGGGUGAGUAAUGUCUGGGAAACUGCCUGAUGGAGGGGGAUAACUACUGGAAGCGGUAGCUAAUACCGCAUAACGUCGCAAGACCAAAGAGGGGGACCUUCGGGCCUCUUGCCAUCGGAUGUGCCCAGAUGGGAUUAGCUGGUAGGUGGGGUAACGGCUCACCUAGGCGACGAUCCCUAGCCGGUCUGAGAGGAUGACCAGCCACACUGGAACUGAGACACGGUCCAG